AAUGCCUGCUAGCAUAACAAUGCACCUUGGUUUCGGCCCGAGGAGCGCCGGUCUUCGGCAGCAAGUUUUUU
rnacentral:tRNA from 1 species